UGUGGAGGGCCCCUCCCUCAUUAGUGCAAAGCCGGAGGGACUAAGGUUCAGACAGCGGUGCUUGGGUCUGUGGGCGGACAGAGGGACAGCAAUGCAUCUCCAUCCUUCACCCUAGGGGCAGGCGACUGCGUCUCCCUGCUCCACCCACGCAGGCGGCUGCCUCUGCAUUCGUUUCUUCCAGCGUCAGCAGUGGCGCUGGAGCCGGAAGGAACUAUUUAAUUGGCAGGAUUUUGGGUUAAAGACAGCUGUGGAUUCUCUGGCUUCCGAGAGGAGCACGUGUGCACCGGGGUGGGGACAGGAGGAGGAGAAAGAGAUUGAGAAAGAAAACCCUGGUUUGCAGAGUCUUUAGAACAGUGGCUCCCGACCUUCCUGGUACUGCGACCCUUUUCCACAGCUCCUCAUGUUGGGCUUCUUGCCUAAGGUGAGGAUUUCAAGAACUCAGCACCUAGCUGGACUCCGAGCUUUCAGGAAUGGAACCUGCUUGGUUAGUGGUUGCUGGGACACAGGGACGCCAUUUGCUUUCUACGACCUGGUUCCUCGGAGCACAGUUCUUCAUCCCUGGCCAAGAUGAAUUCAGGUUGGACUCUGGAUCCAUAAAGCUGGGGACUUCAGUCCCAGGAGGGAAGACCUGUCCUCAGGAAAGGUGACACAACCUUGGAAAUGGUGAGCGUGACCAGCCAGCUUCCUGCCCCCACCACCACUCAAAAGCCUGGGAAACCCUGCUCUUGUUACCAGACGCCAACCACAGACCACAAGGGAUCCUUUCUUCCCUAAGUUGCUCUAUCCUGAGGCUGUUUUAUUCAGAGGGACGGAAACGUAACCAAAGCGAUGCUCCAUCAAGAUGGCGACCAUUGGGAUCAUCAGUCUGACGAGACUGUUUGGUGGGGCAGUGUGACGUAAGGGAGGGUCUAAAUUAUAGAAAAGAGGCUCAAGAACAAACACUUUCAGCAAUGCUUUUCUCUCCCCAAACUGGGUGUGUGUGUGGGAAGCGGGGGAGGGCUCAUUGGCACAGAACUCUGCAUGAGGAUGAACUAGACACACAGAGACCAAAUGACUGAGGUCACCAGGAGGUAAACACAGGCUCAGUUAACCUCACAGUUCACAGCCAAACACUGAGUCCAAGCCCUGAUUCCAUCACAUGCUGGCUACAUGAUCUUGAGUCAUGAUCACGUGACUUCUCUGGGGCACAACUCUCCUUUUUAUAAAUGUACUGACUGGUUUUGUGUGUCAACUUGACACAAGCUGGAGUUAUCUCAGAGAAAGGAGCCUCCUUUGAGGAAAUGCCUCCAUGAGACCCAGCUGUAAGGCAUUUUCUCAUUUAGUGAUCAAAGGGGGAGGGCCCAGACCAUUUUGAGUGGUGCCAUCCCUGGGCUGGUAGUCCUGGGUUCUAUAAGCAAGCCAAGGGAAGCAAGCCAAUAAGCAGCACCCCUCCAUGGCUAUGUGUGAGCUCCUGCCUCCCUGUGUGAGUGAUGAAUGGCAAUGUGGAAACGUGAGCCAAAUAAACCCUUUCCUCUUCAA